UACGUAGGCACCAAGCGUUAUCCGGAUUUAUUGGGCGUAAAGAGCUCGUAGGCGGUUCGGUAAGUCGGGUGUGAAAACUCUGGGCUCAACCCAGAGAGGCCACCCGAUACUGCUGUGACUAGAGUGCGGUAGGGGAGCGGGGAAUUCCUGGUGUAGCGGUGAAAUGCGCAGAUAUCAGGAGGAACACCAGCGGCGAAGGCGCCGCUCUGGGCCGUAACUGACGCUGAGGAGCGAAAGCAUGGGUAGCAAACAGG
rnacentral:rRNA from 1 species